GGGAAACAAGACUGAAAGUGAACUACGGUUUCAAUUUAGCUGGUUUCCAGGUAUUUAAGAUGAAGUGGCACCUUCUAGGGAGGAUGUUUUCCUACACCUUCUAGAAAUAACACCACAUAUUCCUGAGAGAUCUGCUUCUGGUUGUGCACUGUUGUGCAGUGAGGAAGUCACAGUCCAUUGUUGCAGUCAUUCUGUGGCAGCUCUGACUCUCACAGAAUUGAGCACACACAUCGAGAGCAGCACAACAGACGUGAUGACACAACGGGAUGCAAUACAGAUAUCAUUUGCUAAGCAGACUCCUGGAGUCUGGUAGGCAAGCUUCCCUGCCAUCACUUGCACUACCAGGGAGAGAGAAACUCAAGUUUCAUUCUUUCCAGACCUGGGAAACUCAACCUUAAGAACUAAUUAUACAGCCAAAGACACCCUCAGCAGUUAAGAUAUCCUUGGGGGAUUUUUUUGGCCCACUAGAAGUUAACUGUCCUACCAAGAGAAA